rnacentral:RNase_P_RNA from 1 species
UGAGUCGGCCGGGCGGCCGCGUCGCGUCAGGAACCUGGCGCGCCGAGGAAGGUCCGGGCUCCGCAGGGCAGGGUGGUCGGUAACGCCGACCCGGGGUGACCCGCGGGACAGUGCCACAGAAAGCAAACCGCCUCUGGCGUUGUCCGGAGGUAAGGGUGAAACGGUGGUGUAAGAGACCACCAGCGCUCAGGGUGACCUGAGUGGCUCGGUAAACCCCACCUGGAGCAAGGUCAAGAGGGAGCUGCGCCCCCGGGUGCGGCUCCUGCGCGAGCGAUCGAGGGCUGCCCGCCCGAGCUCGCGGGUAGACCGCUGGAGGCUGUCGGCAACGGCAGCCCUAGAUGGAUGGCCGUCGGCCCGCGCAAGCGGGUGCACAGAACCCGGCCUACAGGCCGGCUCGCCCG